ensembl:lncRNA
CUCUGCCCUAGGAGGAGUAUAAAUCAGCCUCUGCUGCUCAUAAGACUUAAAUGAACACUUUUUUUUUUUUCUUAUUACAAACGUAUCUUCUAUGUCACUGCCAAGAAUCCAGUCUCCAGUCUGUUCUAAUGAUCAAGGCCUUACAUGGAACUCCAAAAUGAAAUAACUAUUUUGGUUGCUUCCAAAGUGAAAUUACUAUUUUAGUCACUUGAUUAAUUAUUAUUUUUGUCUCCCAGGUGCCCCACAGGUUUGGAAGUAGUGCAGCUACAUAGGUAGGGAAUUGCUGAAGUGCCUGAGCUGAGCAAAAGAAAGCUUUGAUGUUGCAAUGAGUGGACACAUUUCUGAGCACCGUAUUCUGCUUUCUUCAGUCCUUAGGAGUGAAAGUUGUCUAGAAGCAUAUAAGAAGAACACUCUGGAUUUCUUUUACUCUUGACUGUAAAGCAGUGUUAAGUGUCUUUCUUAGAGGCUGAAUGGACUCCCUGGGAGAACAGCACUUUGCAGAAGAGCUACUAGUAAGCAAAGGAGCUGGGGUGCACUUUGAGCUGGGAGAAGACAGAACGGAGACAACUGACCUAAACUGCCAAAUGGGAUAUUCCAUACCAUAUGGCAUCAUGUGAACUGGUUGGGCAUCAGCUUGCAGGUGAUCUUGGUUACAGUUGAGCAUCAUAAAGCCUGCACCAGCUACAGAUUCCAGGCCUGCAACAUGCAUGAUCAGAACAUUCUUCUGCACUCCUCAGAGAAGAAGAUUCUUUUCCUCCUAACCCUGUUGACCAGCAUUACUUUUUGGAGUCCUGCUGUGAUAAAAUUUACCAUCCAGCAACUGUAUGUGCACAGGUGGGUGAAGCCAUAGACUGUUAUGCAUAUAGUGGGGACUGUGAUAAACAAAGCUGCAUCUCACAUAGAGUUAUAAGCCAGAUGGAAACAAACAACAAUACAAAUGUUUAUUGUUCUUCAUAGCAGAGAUGAACAUUCUAUAAUCUCUCUGGACAGCCUGUGCUAGUGUUCUACCACUCUCACGGUGAUUUUACUUUUCCCAACCUCUGAUUUGCAUUUUUCUUGUUGCAGCUUAUGGCUUAAGCUUGUAGUCCUUUUACUGUGCCACUAAAUGGAAAGCAAGAAACAAUUCUUUACAUAACCACUGCAAGACCACUGAGGGCUUGAGGGACUGUUUUAGCAGUUGCUCUGAGGUUUUGUUUACUUCAUUAGAAGAUAUUGUAGAAAAUGAUUUCAAUUUAUUUUUUUUUUAAUAUGCUAAAAUACUUGGAAAAAGAAUGGGGUUCUUUGUAGCAAAGUGUUGGAAAGACUUGAAUGCUGAGUUUGUUGUUCAUGAGGGUCUAUUCAUAAUUCCACUACUGUUUUACAUUUUAAUCACGGAGUUUCAAGUCUAUACACAAAACUGUGAUCUCAGGAAUGGUGCACCAGUCAGUCCACGUGAUUACUUUUAGUGUUCUGUUCAUUGAAAUUAUAGGAGGUUACAUGUGGGGGAAUAUUCCUGUGAUUGUGACUUAAAACCAGAACGUUCCUAUUGAUAGUGCACUGAACACCCACUUUCUAUGUUCCAUUGUAUUACAUACAUUUCAUCUUUAG